UUGACGGGGCCCGCACAAGCGGUGGAGCAUGUGGUUUAAUUCGAAGCAACGCGAAGAACCUUACCAGGUCUUGACAUCCCCUGACAACCCGAGAGAUCGGGCGUUCCCCUUCGGGGGACAGGGUGACAGGUGGUGCAUGGUUGUCGUCAGCUCGUGUCGUGAGAUGUUGGGUUAAGUCCCGCAACGAGCGCAACCCUCGACCUUAGUUGCCAGCAUUCAGUUGGGCACUCUAAGGUGACUGCCGGCUAAAAGUCGGAGGAAGGUGGGGAUGACGUCAAAUCAUCAUGCCCCUUAUGACCUGGGCUACACACGUGCUACAAUGGGCGGUACAAAGGGUCGCGAACCCGCGAGGGGGAGCCAAUCCCAAAAAGCCGCUCUCAGUUCGGAUUGCAGGCUGCAACUCGCCUGCAUGAAGCCGGAAUCGCUAGUAAUCGCGGAUCAGCAUGCCGCGGUCGAAUACGUUCCCGGGCCUU
rnacentral:rRNA from 1 species